CAACCUGACACUCAGACAAGGACAUCCCCAACAAUUUUUUCGUGUUCCUAGUUCACACAGGCACAUUCUGAUGUUACUGUUCAUUUCACGUUGUCUUCUUCCUAUAUAAAAAAUCCAAAGCCAUGAAAAAUAUUUAAUUACCAAAGAAAACACAGAGAAGGACCUUACUUUACUUUCCAAAGUGGCCAAGCUCAAGCCUAUAUAUCUUCUUGCUACUUCAACCCCACAAGGAGUACUGGUACAAUUUGAGUUUUUCUUUUGUGUUUGGCUCCCAAAUUCCCAAAAACAGUGAUGAUUUCUGGUAAAAGAAAUGUUUUUGGUACCAAGGGGAGAACGGGUUUAGAUUUCAUGGUUUUGGUGUCAACAGUAUGGUGGCUUUGUUUGACUGCUUUCAGUGUCUCGGCUACAACACAAGCAGACCCCCCAUCACCUCAACCGAAUCAAAAGCUAAGGUUUGGCCAAAAUGGAGAAUUCAAGAUAUUGCAGGUGGCAGAUAUGCACUAUGCAAAUGGCAAGAGCACACCUUGCUUGAAUGUGCUCCCUUCUCAGAAUUUUUCUUGCUCUGACCUUAAUACUACUGUCUUUAUUAACAGAAUGAUCCAAGCUGAGAGGCCUAAUCUUAUUGUCUUCACCGGAGACAAUAUCUUUGGGUUUGAUUGCACGGAUUCAGCUAAAUCCUUGGAGGCUGCAUUUGCUCCUGCAAUUGCAUCAAACAUUCCUUGGGUAGCUGUUUUGGGCAACCAUGACCAGGAAGGAACCCUCUCUAGGGAAGGGGUGAUGAAGCAUAUUGUUGGGAUGAAAAACACCUUAUCUAAAUUCAAUCCUCCUGAAGCACAUAUCAUUGAUGGUUUUGGGAACUAUAACUUGGAGGUUGGAGGAGUUGAAGGCUCUGAUUUUGAAAAUAAAUCAGUUCUCAACCUAUACUUUCUUGAUAGUGGAGAUUAUUCCAAAGUUUCUACAAUUUUUGGUUAUGAUUGGAUCAAGCCCUCCCAGCAACUUUGGUUCCAACGAACAUCUGCAAAGCUUAAGAAAGCAUAUAUAAGUGGACCCUUGCCUCAGAAAGAUGCUGCUCCUGGUCUUACAUAUUUCCACAUCCCUCUGCCAGAAUAUGCUAGUUUUGAUUCAUCAAACAUGACUGGUGUGAAACUGGAACCGGAUGGUAAUGGCAUUAGCUCUGCUUCUGUGAACUCUGGCUUCUUCACAACCUUGGUUUCAGCAGGAGAUGUGAAGGCAGUUUUCACUGGCCAUGAUCACCUCAAUGAUUUCUGUGGAAAUCUUAUGAAUAUACAACUUUGUUAUGCUGGGGGAUUUGGAUACCAUGCUUAUGGAAAGGCAGGGUGGCCUAGGAGAGCAAGAGUGGUGGUAGCUAGCUUGGAGAAAACAGAGAAAGGAAACUGGGGAGAUGUUAAGUCAAUUAAAACAUGGAAACGCCUUGAUGAUCAACAUCUUACUGGAAUUGAUGGCGAGGUCCUAUGGAGCAAGAACUCUCAGUGUAUCAAUUCACAGACAGUGCCAUUCUACUGGUCCAUGCUACAGCUCCUUGGAUGGGUUUCCAUCACUUUGGCUUGGUAGGCGCAGUCCCUCAAGGAGCUACUGUGUCUAAGUAUUCUAUAAAUCUAAUAAGGAAGUUCAUCACUGUACUUCUCCAAUAAAGAUACCACGUUUCAACACUUUCAGCAAUUUCAUUGCAUUUGAAAUAAUGUCCAAAGAUAAAAACCAAAUGGAGGUGAUUGAGAAUUUGAAAAUUAUGCAGACAGAUAUUGAUAUCCACAUGAGGCUAUUUUGUAUUGAGUUGCUAUACGAUAAAUUUUAUUGAGAGGAAUUUGAUUGUCUUUAUUAUAGAUUUUGUUCUGUAAUAGAAGUUAGCCUGCUAAGAUUAGAAUAGGACUCAAAGCUUCAUAAAGAAGAAGUAGAAUUACAACUAUUCAUACUCCAUACCAACUUGUAUGAUCAUGUCAUUAUUUCAAGUUUUUAUAUGUGGCCUUGAAACCAGAAGAUGUUUUGUUGUUAUUUUUGUCUGAGGAUAAAAGAAACGCAAUAUCAUAA